UGGUCAGCAGGGGUCUCAUAAGAAGA
rnacentral:piRNA from 1 species